AUAAUUUGCUGAACCUAGCGUUAGCGAGGUUCUGCGAUCACUUAUAUUUAAAACCCAACUCUUAAAUUGUAUAAUUAUGUAUUUUUUUUUUAGUAAAAAUUAAAGA
rnacentral:misc_RNA from 1 species